rnacentral:ribozyme from 1 species
AAAAAAAUGCAUCACAAAGUGGAUCAUCAGAUUGAAUUGAUGUGAAUGAUUGCACAUUUUUUUUUUUGUUUUUUUUUUUUUUUU